rnacentral:rRNA from 1 species
CCUACGGGCGUCAGCAGUAGGGAAUCUUCCACAAUGGGCGAAAGCCUGAUGGAGCAACGCCGCGUGGGUGAAGAAGGUCUUCGGAUCGUAAAACCCUGUUGUUAGAGAAGAAAGUGCGUGAGAGUAACUGUUCACGUUUCGACGGUAUCUAACCAGACAGCCACGGCUAAUAACGUGCCCGCAGCCGCGGUAAUACGUAGGUGGCAAGCGUUAUCCGGAUUUAUUUGGCGUAAAGGGAGCGCGGGCGGUCUUUUAAGUCUGAGGUGAAAGCCUUCGGCUCAACCGGCGUGGUGCAUUGGAAACUGGGGGACUUGAGAGCAGAAGGGGAGAGUGGAACUCAAUGUGUAGCGGUGAAAUGCGUAGAUAUAUGGAAGAACACCAGUGGCGAAAGCGGCUCUCUGGUCUGUAACUGACGCUGAGGCUCGAAAGCGUGGGUAUCAAACAGGAUUAGAUACCCUUGUAGUC